rnacentral:rRNA from 1 species
UACGGAGGGAGCUAGCGUUGUUCGGAAUUACUGGGCGUAAAGCGCGCGUAGGCGGCUUUGUAAGUUAGAGGUGAAAGCCCAGGGCUCAACCCCGGAACUGCCUUUAAGACUGCAUCGCUUGAAUCCGGGAGAGGUGAGUGGAAUUCCGAGUGUAGAGGUGAAAUUCGUAGAUAUUCGGAAGAACACCAGUGGCGAAGGCGGCUCACUGGACCGGUAUUGACGCUGAGGUGCGAAAGCGUGGGGAACAAACAGG